GGUAACAAUUAUACUGCGGAUUCCAGUCAGUGACCAGCCACUACUGGGUCGUACCCUUUUCACCGAUGCUUCAGGGAAAACUGGGAAAUUUGCUGUGUUGUGGCACGAUGGGUGACUAAGUCUGGAUCAAAGGAGAAGGGGACAGACUAACAUCAGAAGAGAAUGGCAAACUGCUCCUUCUUCACAGAUGAAAGAGAAAAACGAGUCUGAAUCCAAGGUAUAACACCAUUAAAAACAUCAAAAAGCAUA